UUGUCAACUCGGUGAACUUUCUCGAGAGAGCACCGGGCAGCUUCUCUCGCCUCUCUCCUUCCCCCUUGUCUCUCACUGGCCUCUGGGUCGCUUCCAAAAGGUUGCUUCCUUCGAGUUUUCCCUGUGAAGCUUCACCUUGGCGUGGUCCACAUGGAAGGCAGAAUCAACCCCACUCACAGAUUCCCAAAGGGUCGAGUUUGGACAGUACUCCAGAGCAACGUUUUUGCUUUUGCUUUUUUUUUUCUUCAACUCCUACCCAGUGGUUGAUCUAUCAACAUCCUGCAAUUUUGGAAAUUUCACUUUAUGAUUCACAAGUACCUGGAAUCUGCAGAGGAUUUUUGCUGUUAGGAGGAAAGGUAAUUGCUUCUCCACUUGAUGCCAUUUCUACUUACAAACGGUUUCAGGGGACCGCUCUGCUUUCGGACACUGAGGAAAACGCCGUGCCGUCUUGGUCUCAACCGCCGUCUCUCCUCCAAUAGGGAAGUCACUGUCUUCUGAUGAAGCCACGUUGACUUGCAGGUCUUGGAUGAUUCAAAAAAAAAGAUCUUUCCAUCUCUGGACUUCCAGCUAGGCCUAAACAGAAAACAUGACCUUUUCAGAAAAGACGUUUAUUCAAGGUUUAAACCCAGUGGGUGGGCAUCAACAGAAUCAGGUGUGCUAACAGCAAGCCCUGCGUCUGGAGAGGAUACCAGCCCUGCAAAUAAAGGAAGAACCCAGAAGACCAGAUCCGAAUCUCGAAGAGCCCUCGAGGAGCCAUGCUCCCAUCACUCCCUGCCGUCUCCGCUGCCUUCUUAGGAGUUUGAAUUAUGAGGUUAAGUACUUGAAUCAACCAUACUUUUCAGUGAUCUUCCAGUGGAAACCCUUCUGGACCAAAUACCACCAAAGGGAGCCUCUGUGCCUGGGUUGGUGGUGAAGGGUCAUGGAGUUGCCGUUUUUAGAGUCAGCUUCCCAAGUCCGCGGGGCACCCCAUGCUUUGCUUCUUGUUGCCUUUCCAGUUGGGUGCUUCCCUGAAGGAUACCUAGUAGCUUGCACCUGACCUGAAUACCAGUCACAGCAGCCUCCUCAGCUAGAGCCGUUCUUAACGUAUCCAUCCGUCCAACACAUAUUUCCUGAGCUCCUACUGUGUGCGGUGCUGCAGCGAUGCGGUCAACAACAGUCCUGUCCCUGCUUUCAGGACAUUCACAGUGCAGUAGAGGGGAAAAGACAGUGUUUAAAGGACCAGGGAUGAAAUUCAAAUUGAUGCAGAUUGAAUUCCCCUCGGAAAACUUCCCUCUGGCUCCAGAGAAUGGACUAGGGGCUGGGGGAGGGGCGCCACUCUCUGCCACCUGCUACCAUUCUGUGUGACACCGCUAGCACUCAGUCACCCUCUUUUUUAAUUUCCUGCAAGCACCGCACACACGUGCCCUGAAAGGCCUGCGUUUGUUUUCUUUUCCCCCCGGUGGCCAGUCUGCCUUUACAACACACAAUGGAAGCUUCAUGUAGGGAGGCACUUCCUCCAGUUUGCAGAAUUCCUGGAACCAAGAGGGAGCCCUGUCUUCUUUGUUGAGCCCAUGAGGGACUUGUCCCUUAAACUCCAGUAAGGCAGGAAUGCUAGAAGCACCUGGGAGAAGGCACGUGGGAAUUCCGAGAGGCAGUGGGAGGCCCCUGUACCUGGUGGGAAAGCCCUGCUGGCCUGAGCUGUUGUCACUCAAGGGGCUCCGGUCUGCUCCCUAGGAAUCCCUGGGGGAUUUGGAAAGAAGACCUUUCUUUGUUGUCGUAAUUUAAUUGCUGGUUAGCACUUCCAUCCAAGUUCAGCGAUAACUUCUGGAAUUUGCACCUGAAGAACUUUUUUCUUCUUUCAUGCUCCACUCCUACCCCCCCCCCCCCCCCCCCCUGCUCUCUUCCCAGAAAUGGGUGCCUGGCCGAAAACCCAUGUACUUAGCAGUUGGCUGUGGCAGCACAUGAGUAAUCUCCCACCUUCAUCAAGGAAGGAAGAAAUGGAAAACUUGAUCCCCAGGUGGCUUCGCAGGAACUGGAAAAAAAAAAAAAAAAAAAAAAAA
rnacentral:lncRNA from 1 species